rnacentral:rRNA from 1 species
AUUGAACGCUGGCGGCAGGCCUAACACAUGCAAGUCGAGCGGUAGCACAGAGAGCUUGCUCUCGGGUGACGAGCGGCGGACGGGUGAGUAAUGUCUGGGAAACUGCCUGGCGGAGGGGGAUAACUACUGGAAACGGUAGCUAAUACCGCAUAACGUCGCAAGACCAAAGAGGGGGACCUUCGGGCCUCUUGCCAUCAGAUGUGCCCAGAUGGGAUUAGCUAGUAGGUGGGGUAACGGCUCACCUAGGCGACGAUCCCUAGCUGGGCUGAGAGGAUGACCAGCCACACUGGAACUGAGACACGGUCCAGACUCCUACGGGAGGCAGCAGUGGGGAAUAUUGCACAAUGGGCGCAAGCCUGAUGCAGCCAUGCCGCGUGUAUGAAGAAGGCCUUCGGGUUGUAAAGUACUUUCAGCGGGGAGGAAGGCGGUGAGGUUAAUAACCUCAUCGAUUGACGUUACCCGCAGAAGAAGCACCGGCUAACUCCGUGCCAGCAGCCGCCGUAA